rfam:Populus trichocarpa isolate Nisqually-1 chromosome 4, whole genome shotgun sequence.
UAAUUUGUAUGUGAUAGAUCUUUAUUUAGUUAUGACAGAUCCAUACUUAAUUGCUCAGAAUCACCUGUUAUCUCAAAUUUCACUCCAUGACAAAUUUUUGUUUUGAUUCAAUUAUUAGCAUAGA